CGCGCAGUUUGCCUGUUUGUUUUCUACGGCUGUUGGUCGAUCUUAGAAAAGUUUUUUUUAUUAUCAGCUCCCGGAGGAUUAUACAAUGGAACGAAUGGUUCCGAAAAUUAUACAGCAUCGUGAUGGACCGCAGGUGCUCUUAAUGGCUAGCAGUUUCCAAGGAACUAAGAUUCGAUCGGCUCGUGAAUCUGAAGCUUCCGCACCGGGGGCGAAACUGGACCCCCGGUAUAUUUAAAAACGCUGCUCGAGCUUCCAUUCUUUGGAAUCUUCCAAAAGACGUUAUAAGGAGAACAGUUCCUCUAAUUUGGCAAAUUUAUCCGACCAAAAAAAAAGAAGCAAAACGGGCUCAGCAUCGGAUGCAGUCACCGGGGAGGUAGCACCAAUGGAU